rnacentral:rRNA from 1 species
GAUGAACGCUGGCGGCGUGCCUAACACAUGCAAGUCGAACGAACAGACGAUGAGCUUGUGCUCCUAACGUUGGCGACUGACGGGUGAGUGACACGUGGAUAACCUUCUACUUUGACUUGGAUAACAACGGGAAACCGCAGCCAAUAAUAGAUCAUAUAUCCUACCGCAUGGAUCAAUAGAGCAUCGCGGUUUGGCUGUUUCUUUUAGACGGAUCCGCGCCGCAUUAGCUAGUUGGUAAGGUAACGGCUUACCAAGGCGACGAUGCGUAGCCGAUCUGAGAGGGUGAUCGGCCACACUGGAACUGAGACACGGUCCAGACUCCUACGGGAGGCAGCAGUGGGGAAUAUUGGACAAUGGGCGAAAGCCUGACGCAGCCACGCCGCGUGAGUGAAGAAGGUCUUCGGGUCGUAAAACCCUGUUAUUGGGGAAGAACAAAUGUGUAAGUAACUAUGCACGUCUUGACGGUACCUAAUCAGUAAGCAACGGCUAACUACGUG